rnacentral:rRNA from 1 species
GACGUAGGGCGCGAGCGUUGUCCGGAUUUAUUGGGCGUAAAGAGCUCGUAGGCGGCUUGUCGCGUCGACUGUGAAAACCCGUGGCUCAACCAUGUGGUCUGCAGUCGAUACGGGCAGGCUAGAAUUCGGUAGGGGAGACUGGAAUUCCUGGUGUAGCGGUGAAAUGCGCAGAUAUCAGGAGGAACACCGGUGGCGAAGGCGGGUCUCUGGGCCGUUAUUGACGCUGAGGAGCGAAAGCGUGGGGAGCGAACAGG